rnacentral:rRNA from 1 species
UACGGAGGGGGCUAGCGUUGUUCGGAAUUACUGGGCGUAAAGCGCACGUAGGCGGCUUUGUAAGUUAGAGGUGAAAGCCCAGGUCUUAACCCUGGAAUUGCCUUUAAGACUGCAUCGCUAGAAUCGUGGAGAGGUAAGUGGAAUUCCGAGUGUAGAGGUGAAAUUCGUAGAUAUUCGGAAGAACACCAGUGGCGAAGGCGACUCACUGGACACGUAUUGACGCUGAGGUGCGAAAGCGUGGGGAGCAAACAGG